ensembl:lncRNA
CCUGAGUAUAAAUGCAAUAUAAAUAUUCCUAAUGCAUUAAUAGCUUAUAAUACAUCAGAAAUAUCAUUUGUAUGUUCUUGUGAAUAAUUGUAAUGAUAGUUAUUGUAAAUUACAAAAUAAAAAGCGGCCUCCACCAGACGGACUAGGAGCAGCAGCCAUGCAGUGGUAAACCAGACGCAGAUCACCUACACUUCCUCUGGUUUCUCGUACUGCAGCAAACACAGCCUAGUCAAAAUAAUAGCAUAAGUUUCUGUUUGAGUUUUCAGAUUGCAGCAGUUGCUGCAAGUGUAAUACUGAGGGUUCAAUAAACAAGGGAUUAAUUGGUAUUGAGUUCAGGCAAAAUUUGGCCAGUACGAUAUUUUUAUACACCAAUGAAAAUUGCACUGCAUUCCACUGAUGAUUUUGUAGAGUUAAACAUUUUUGCUGAAUUUUUUUUGUAAAAAUCUUGCUCUGACCAAAGUGACUUGAACGCACUUGACCUCAAAAUUAUGACAUCCCAACUUGUAAAUACAAACUUCUCAAGAGGGCUUGAAUGCACCAUUUGCAGCAUAAUAAAAACUUGAAUAUAUAUUCUUUAGAUUUGUCAGAGUGAUAACAAAUAGUAUCUUUCAAGCUAAAAUAUUGUGCAAAGAUAGGGGGUUUGUUUAAAUGGGAAUACAAGUCAACCCAAAACUUCUGAACAAAUUCACAAGAAUAGAAUAAAUGUAUUAAGGUUUCAUCUUCGUUGCUACAAAAUGUGCGGGUACUAGGAAUAUCAACAUAUUUGGAAACAGCUGAGUUAACAGGAUAUAUUUUAUGCAGUAUUUUAAAGUGGACUUCUUUGGUCUUAUUAGGAAAAAAAUAUUUAAUAGGCAACAACCACAUUCUUCUCCAAUCUAUAUUAUUAAUUAAGGCAGCCCAAUGGGAUCUGCCUGUGCAGUUUGUUUUCUUAUGCUCUCACAUCACAAAAAUGGGUAGACAUAUUGUGUAACACUAUGACUGUCAACAAACAGUUCCUAGCAUGCCAUUGGUGAAAGACAUUUUUACUAUGUGACAUCCCACCCUCCCGCUCUGACCACUGCUGCCUGUCUGAAACCACAACGCCAUGGUCAGUGUCCAAAUGAAAAUCACUGGCUCACCUCAGGUCAGACCACAUUUCACAUCAGCAGAGCCGACAACACUCUUGGCCUCUCUUUAAAGGAGUGCAUGUGCAGUUUUGGGUAUGUCAUUAAUAUUUUUCCUUCCAUUAAUCUGCACAACCAAAGAAUAUUUCUCACCCAGAACAUUGUUUCUUUGUCGGAAUGUUAGGUGACACUGCAAAAGAUGGUCAGAAGAGAUUCAACAGGAAUCCAGUGCUGGAGACUCACUUGUAGCAUUUACAUAUACAUGCUAUGAAAGCCUGCUAAAGUGAAAAUGCAUUGAUCUCUUUUGCCACCAGUCUUUGAUAAGAACCUCAAUUCAUUCUACAUUCUAGUCU